AACAAACAAAGAUCCUAUUAAAUAGUAAAAACACAUUGAAUUAAAUCUAUUUCAUUAUAACCUCACCAUAACAAGUUGAAAGAAAAAAAAAACAAUAAUGCGUGAAGUAACGAUAUCCGACAAAAAAGCCAAGUGAAGUUUUCAAACCAUGUAUGUAUACAUUCCCACAAAAAUAGAUGCUGUCAAAAUGUCAAAACCUCGCAGGUAGUGGAUAAUUUACACAGGUAGCAAAUGCGCCAUUUGGCUUCCAGUUUAUCGCAUAAAACAUUUCCGCGCUCAAAUCACAUCAAACCAUUGUUUAUUGAGUGUACUGUAUGUGUUUUAAGCUGAACGAUUGAAGGUCUGAAAUAUACGGAUGUAACUGAAGCCGCCAAUAGAGAUUAUCAUAAUUUUGUCAACAAAUCGUAACACCGCGAGGAUAAAAAAUGAGUUCGGACAAAAGUUCGCCACAAGUGCAAAAUAACCCAAAACAAGUACAAAAACGUCGCACUACUAGCGACGAAGAUUGGGAACGCAUAGUAACGGCGUACGAAAACGGGGCCACACCAAUCACCAUUAGUCAGAUACUUAACAUACGGAUAGCGACUGUAUAUGGAAUCAUAAAAAAGUAUCAAACACACUGGCAAGUUGCUGCUAAAAAGCGUGGUGGAAACAGACCCAAAGCAUUGACACAGGAAGCAGUAGAAAGUAUUCGUCGCUGGAUUGUUGCAGACAGCACAAUUACGCUAAGAUCGCUUGCAGAAAAGGUGUUCCAGGAACACGAGAUUCGCGUAAGCUCGACCACUAUAGGCCGGGAAGUAAAGGAAAUCAAACGAUCCUGCGUACCCGCAACAUCUUCUACACGAUCGAGUUCGAAAUCCACGCGUCCUUCGAAGAAAGCGCAAGCGGCUCAAAGUAUAACUCGCACAAGUAGCAACUCACGUACAAAAAAAUCUACAAAAUGAACACUUUUUAAAAAGUGUCUCUUCAACCCAAACUUUUACUUUCAAACAAUAUAUGAAAUAAAUUAUUCCUUAACCAGACAUUUGGUGUCUGAAGUGUAUGAAAGAAUCAAUACAUCACUUAUCGCACCCAAACAAUGAGAAAAAAGAACAUCUGUUGCUGUAAAUAUUAGUAAAUGUUUUUAAUCCAAUUCAUUUUGUUCUUUUUUUUCGCAAUUCCAACAAGUCAAUUAUUGGAAUGUACUUAAAUCGAUGAGUGCAAAGCAAGCCAAAUACCAUCAAACUGUAACAUUACAUUACACCCAACGGAUUGCAUACAUUCAUGAAAAAAUAUCGCAUAACUUUUUGCAUUGCAAACAGGACUGUCGCACAAAUUUAUCCACGGGACAGGCCCGUUAUGCAUAUGCGCGAGGAUUAUAACGGACGAAAUACGAAAUCAACAACGGAAUAUUACACCAAACGUUUACGGUGGAAAAAUAUUCAACUGUAAAUAGCACCCGCAGAUGCGUGUAUAAUGUAGAAAAAUGCAGUCAAUCGAUGAUGCCACAUGACAAAUAUGCUGACUGCACUGUUUCCCACCGCAUGGUGCCCAUUAAAAGACAAACAAUUAUUGGAAUAGAAAAAAAAUACAUAUUCCACUCAUCAAUGAGCAUCGUCAUAGUUGAUUCGCCCGUGACAUUAUCUGAUGAUGUUUUUUUGUACGGUUUUGCGCGGUUGAUUAAGUUAAAGUUGCAGUUGGAAAAAUGAUUAUGAGCGAUAUAAUUGAUGUACAGCAUUUAUGAAAUAAGCCAAUCAAGCAAACGAAUUAUGGUUCAACUUUCGGCCAUUAAUCUGCGUUUGUCAGUCGACAUUUACUCGUUUGGUGUGACAAAACGUAUUAACGAAUGAUACGAAUAUUUAAUACAAAUUCAUCCUAAAUCCGACCAUUAACGCAUUGUUCGAUUUAAAUACGCUUCAAAUCAACGUUCGUUUUCAUCAGUGCACACGCUCUGCAAUGAAUACAAUUUGCAGCAUCCACCAAUCCAAGGCUUUCGGUGUUUGAUUACGAUGAAAUUAUGAGCCUUUCUCGG